CGCGUUUUUUUUGGAUGCGCGAUUUGCUGGAUGUUAUUUUAAACACCUAUUACUAAUACUGACUAUACUCCGAUACGAAAGUUUUGGUUUUACAAUUAACAACUUCAGCAGUGGAUGUCUAGGCUCGCACAUCGAUGAAGAACGCUGCGAACUGCGAUACGUAAUGCGAAUUGCAGAAUUCAGUGAGUCAUCGAAAUUUUGAACGCAUAUUGCACUUUCGGGUUAUGCCUGGAAGUAUGCCUGUAUCAGUGUCCGUACAUCAAACUUGCCUUUCUUUUUUUGUGUAGUCAAAAUUAGAGAUGGCAGAAUGUGAGGUGUCUCGCGCUGUCUUUUUAAAGAUGGUUCGAGUCCCUUUAAAUGUACGUUGAUUCUUUCUUGUGUCUGCGAAUUGCGAUGCUAUGCUCUUUGUGAUCGGUUUAGAUUGCUUUGCGCUGGUGGGCGACUUCGGUUAGGACAUAUGGAAGCAACCUCAAUUGGCGGUAUGUUCGGCUUUGCCUGACGUUAAGCUAAGCGAGUGUAGUUUUCUGUCUUUUCCUUGAGGUGUACCUGUCGUGUGUGAGGUUGAUUUAGGCUAUAUGGUUGCUUGGUUGUGUGGUUUAGCGUUUUCAGACGCCUGCUUCGGUAGGUAAAGGAGACAACACCAAUUUGGGACUGAGAGUUUACUCUCUUUUUCACUUUGGACCUGAUAUCAGGUAAGACUACCCGCUGAACUUAAGCAUAUCAAUAAGCGGAGGAA
rnacentral:rRNA from 1 species